GACGAACGCUGGCGGCGUGCUUAACACAUGCAAGUCGAACGGUAAGGCCCUUCGGGGUACACGAGUGGCGAACGGGUGAGUAACACGUGGGUGAUCUGCCCUGCACUUCGGGAUAAGCCUGGGAAACUGGGUCUAAUACCGGAUAGGACCACUGCCUGCAUGGGGGGUGGUGGAAAGCUUUUGCGGUGUGGGAUGGGCCCGCGGCCUAUCAGCUUGUUGGUGGGUGAUGGCCUACCAAGGCGACGACGGGUAGCCGGCCUGAGAGGGUGACCGGCCACACUGGGACUGAGAUACUGCCCAGACUCCUACGGGAGGCAGCAGUGGGGAAUAUUGCACAAUGGGCGCAAGCCUGAUGCAGCGACGCCGCGUGAGGGAUGACGGCCUUCGGGUUGUAAACCUCUUUCAGCACCGACGAAGCGCAAGUGACGGUAGGUGCAGAAGAAGGACCGGCCAACUACGUGCCAGCCGCCGCCGUAACAC
rnacentral:rRNA from 1 species